CCGCGUGAGUGAUGAAGGUUUUCGGAUCGUAAAGCUCUGUUGUUAGGGAAGAACAAGUACCGUUCGAAUAGGGCGGUACCUUGACGGUACCUAACCAGAAAGCCACGGCUAACUACGUGCCAGCAGCCGCGGUAAUACGUAGGUGGCAAGCGUUGUCCGGAAUUAUUGGGCGUAAAGGGCUCGCAGGCGGUUUCUUAAGUCUGAUGUGAAAGCCCCCGGCUCAACCGGGGAGGGUCAUUGGAAACUGGGGAACUUGAGUGCAGAAAAGGACAGUGGAAUUCCACGUGUA
rnacentral:rRNA from 1 species